AUGUUUUUCUCACAUGCUUUAAUAAGCUCCUCUUCAAUGAAGGGCUUGUUUUCCACCUUGGCUGGAGGACACUUGCUUGGAGUUGCAACAGCCUUCAGCUCUUCACCGCUUAGGAACUGCCCCAGCUGCUCCUCAUUCAAGCGAAUAGGAAUUGCCCCAGCUGUUCCUCAUUCAAGCUAACCUUUCUGUGGUCAAUCUCGUAACUGAUGGAGGAAUAUGAAAGCCAAACCGCUUGACAGGUAUUUCAAAACCAGUACUUUCCCUCUUUUUCACAGGUAUUGUUCUCAAAGAUACAUCUGCACAUUCAAAUCUAUCUAGAGUCUUUCUCAGAGUCAGAUUCUUAGAGAACUCAACUGGUGACGGGUAAUUAAUUGAGUUGAUUCUAAAUGUUUUAUACUUUAAAAAUUUAUUUGCUAGAAAGCGUUCCAAGUUAAAGUUAAGCCAGUCAUAGAAUGCCACUUCAUUUUCUUAGCUCUUUACAAUUCAGGGUUAUCUUCCAUGUGUACAUAAUUUUCUUUCAAUUAUUUUAAAACUCUUUUUUUUAAUUUUAUUUUUAUUUCCUUAGUAAUUUUCAUUUCUCAAUCCUUCAUUAGGUUUUCAGAAAAAUUUAUUGUCUUGUGUGCAUAUUAUGUUGUCUUUGGUAAUACUUUUGUAACUUUAUUUUCUCAAGUUCCUUUUUCUCUAGUGCAUUUCCAUUGUGAUUUUUCUUGAAUUUAUAAUAGGACCUUAUUUUUACAUGAAGUGUUACUAUACAAUGUUCUUUUGAUUUGUGGUUGUUUAUUGGUGAGUAUCUAUCAGUUGUUUUAACUGAUUAUCUCUAUUGCUAUUAAUUUACAUUUUGUUUUAUUUUCAUAGAAACUUUGUAUAAAUAUCAUCUUCCUCUUACACAUGUAUUAAUCUUUAGGACCAGCAACAUCAACAGUUAUAUUUUUAGUUCAAAACAUCUCUAUUGCCAUGCAUAGUGUGUUAAGAACUGUUUAAAACCUGAUAUUUUACCACACUUGCAAAUUAGCCAUCAAGUCAGCCAAAAUUUUAAAGAUGUUAGCAGAAUACUUUAAUAAUAAAUUUUACUACUCAAAGCCAGGCAACAAAUUCCUCAUGGCCACGUCAGUUUCACUGCCUCCCCAAGUCCCUUGGGGGUAACACUGAAGAGUACAGGUGGGUGUUGAGCAUCCUGUGGGUUUGUACAUCUGUGGAACCAUACCUUAGGAAAGCCACGUCUUUGAAAACAGGCUUCAAACAAGCCUACCCAACCAUUUCUUAGAGGAUGACAUUUUUCUCCAUCUUCCAAGGUUGCUUGCUGUGCAACCUUCUUUAAAAUGUCAGGAAAAAAAAAAAAAAGCCAUCAGUUGCUUAUUUCCAAAAACAUAAACAGAAAAAAAAAAAAAAAAACACUUGGAAAAUUGCUUUCCAUAUAGUGAAUUACAGUUUCUUUAAUAAAUUGUGCUUUUUUGUGGGAGGUGGCUUAUUUUCUGAUUUUAUUAUUUUAUUUUGUUUCUGUUAGAUCAUUAACUUCUGUAACUUACUUCUUUCUCUUUUUUUACUUCUAAGUAUCUAAAAGGUGCCUCUCUGUUGUAAGUCAGCACUCCCCUCUUAGAAACAAUGCCAUGCAAGACUGGCAUAUCUGUUUCUAUGAACAUGCAAGCUUUGCCUUUGUUUCUCCAUUAAACUAUUUUCUGAUAGAAUCAGUCUCUGAUUUAUUUCAAGCACUUCCUCACACGGCAGAAUUCUUGCCUUUGCUAAAUAUGAUUUUACCUCUUUUCAGCUAUUGGUAGCACGUCACUGCCCUCUUUCAUUUUCUUUGCCUGAUUUCUCAUGUGGAUUCCAGCACUGGCUAUAAUGGAUUCAGAAUUUCUAUUUCCCUACAUACAUGGUAUUGACAUUUUUAGUAUUCUUGUUCCAUUAAGUUAUGAGUGGUUUUAUAUGCUCUCCAUGUUGGAUUUAAUGGCUUUUGCAGAAUGUGUAAAAAGAUUAAUAUUUAGAAGGAUUUAAUUAUCCAAUGUGUGAACAGUAGAAUUUUGAUUGAAACCGGAUUAAUUUUACAGAUUACCUAGAAGAGAUUGAAUAUCUUUACAAUAUUGGAGUUUUGCAUCCAGAAACAUAUUAUGGAUUUUUCAUUUAUUCAGUUUUUUUCUACUCUCCUAUGAAUUUUUGUCUUUUCAAAAGAAAAAUAUUAAGCCUUAU
rnacentral:lncRNA from 1 species